GUGGACCCCUGUCUAUUGGUGACGUGCCAUCAGCACAGCUGAUUGGUAUAGUCUCGUUCUACUCCCAGUCCGGCUGCGACAGCGCGCUGCCGGCCGGGUUCACUCGUGUCACCUCCUAUCUGUCAUGGAUUCAAGCCCGUCUUUAAGUAUAUUUCAUAUUAAAUCAUAUUAAAAUAUAUAUUUAAUUUGUA